GCCAAUGUGGCUCAGUGGAUAGAGCGUUGGACUGUGGACUGAAGGGUCCUGGGUUCAAUUCCCAUCAAGGGCA
rnacentral:tRNA from 1 species